AACAGACUGGAGCCCCGUCCUGCGCCCCAGUGACCCUGAAUUGGAUAAGUGGAAGAGGAUGGAUGGGACAUGAACUGCAGCCCCUGGUCUUGAAGUCAUGCUCUGUGGUAGCCAACUCCAAGUUACUUCUUUAAAGCCUUUGCAAGAAUGACGUCAGGGUUGGAAGCAGAACUCCUGCUGCAAUGACAUCAAGACAAAUUACCGUACAUUGUGAACAUUAAGUUGAUUCUGACUAAUGAGAACCUCUCGAGCUCCAUCAGGUUGGGUCAGGAGCACAGGUGACCAGCUCUGCCUGGGCCACUCAAGGACAUUCACAGUGUGCUCAGGGAGCCAUUCCUUUAUUAUGAUGGUUGCGCGCUUAGGCUUGUCCUAUCAGAAGAUGAACCUUCGCCCCAGUCCAAAGAGCAGGGUGCUCUGGAGUAGGUUAUCAGGAUGUCUCUGUAGGAUAUCUCUGUACACUGCUGCAUUGAUCUUUCCCUCCACCCGGACUGAUCUGUGCCUUGAUACAACCCCCGUCUCAGUCUUCAGAAAAUUCCUUGGAUUUCACAGCUUCCUUUGUGCUCUAACAUACACUGUCGACUAUGAGGCCUUAUGUUGACAGCUGUGUGCUUUUCCAAAUCAUGUCCAAUCAGCUGAAUUUACCACAGGUGGACAUGAUUCAAGUUGUAGAAACAUCUGACAGAUGAUCAAUGAAAACAAGAUGCACCUGACCUCAAUUUUGAGCAAUAUACUCGCAUGAAUUUCAAGCAAACCAUUUUCAGUCUGUCUUUAUGGCACAUUGUAGAAUUUUGUGAUGAAAAGUCUGUUUAAUCCAUUUUGGAAUAAGGCUUUACUAUUACAAAAUGUGGAACAAAUAAGGCGCUGUGAAUACUUUCUGGA